GUCCAAAAUGAAUUCAGAGAGGAUAAACGUAUGAUUUAGGACUGAGCGCAACAUUUCCUUUGUUCAUCACACACCACAUCAGAUUUGCUCUUGCACAGCUAGUUCAGCUGGGUCGGGACUACCUUAACACCAACAGGGAAAACCAGAGGUGAGUCAGACUCUGUCAACCUGAGGACAUUUUUAGUAGUUACGUGGUUUAAUGUGCUGAAGUGUUUCAUGUUACAUGACUAAAUAUCAGUUAUCAUGCCAGACAACAGUUUAGAGCAGCAAGAAGUAACACGUGUUGUUGUUUUACCUUCUCGAAGGGACAACGGAGAACCUGAUGAUCCAGCUGCUGGGGACACUGCGUCUCUCCAAUCUGUGCUUGUCUAUAAUCUAUAACUGCAUGUGUCCCUUUGAACAAUCAGGGACCAGGGGGAUGGGGUGGAAGAGGAGAUGGAGCCACCACACAGUCAGGAGACACAUGUUGAGUCCUCUCUGCUGAAUGGGCAUCUUGUGAACAGGUUAACCUUUCUCUGAGAAAGACCCUCAUUACUUCAUUACCAGUUGGGUUUCAUUAUCCUCAGUCAGAGCUGAUCCCAUGAGUCAUUGAUCCCACAGGUUUAAUAGAAAGACCCGUUUGUUUAACACGUGAUCCUUAUAUUCUAAUACCUGUAAUACCUAAUGAGCAUGGUAAAUGCUCAUGCAUGUUAAAGAAAAUGUUUAGCAGACAAGGAGAGAGAGGUGAGCCAAGCGAGAGGUUCGUUCAGCCAAUGGGCCGUGAGGGAACAGAUACUGAAUUCUCUCAGAAGAGAAAUGUUGGAUUUCAUUUUGAGCCAGUUUGCUACAGCAGGAAAAUAAUCCUGCAGCGACAACAAAUGUGAAUUGUUACGCGAGUUGAUAGAUUUUUCAUUAGGGCAAAUCAAAUCGGUCAUUUUAAAGUAGAAAUUACCAACUUUCAAUGCCCUUUUAAACUUUGAAUAUACUACAGGUUUGCAUUUCCUGCUGUGCAGGAAAAUGCUCAGCAACCAAAGAGUGAUCAAUUUAAGAUCGUACCUCUGUAAUCUCACAAUGGGGCAUGUAAUAACGUUUGUCUUGUGGUGGCUCAAUGAUGAUGUCAGGUAAACAUCACUACAUAUUGAUACAUCCACAACUCAUUGGGUAUAAUGCCACUCACCCCAUUUUCCCACGGUUCAUGUUAGCCUCUGUCUCUUUAGGGGACAGUAUUAUGGUGGAUCAUGAAUGUGAAUGUUGAUGUCUUAUUACUCCAACAGGGUUAACGAUGAGACUAAGGAAGCGACUCCUGGUGCACAGAGUCCAGAACCUCCUCAGACGAAUGGAGGACCUCCUAUGUCUGACAGGUUGGAGAACAACCCUGUUGGUCAGCGGAUGAAGAUAACUUCUCUGGUGAACAAGCAGGACCAGGACUGGUCAGCAACGGCAUGAAGCCAGUUGAAAAUAUAUAGCAUAUAAGAUGCAACUAAGUGUAAUUAUAAUAAAAAAUAACAUGAUAUACACUGUAAUAUAGAACAGUAUAAUAUAAUGACAAGAUAUAAUAUCGUAACACUUACUUGAAGCUGCUUCUUGUAUAGUGUUAUAUAUUCUAAUGAAUGCAUUCUUAACAACAUGAAUGAUGCAUUAAUGCAUACAUAGGACAUAACUGUAAAAUGCUAGUGUAAUACUGUGCUGGUAAGCUGCUAGCUGUGGGGUUGCCCCCAGCUGUGGUUUCUAUUAUUCAGAGUAUCUAAGCUCAACUUCAAAUCCAUAGUUUUUAGCUUAGUUGUUACUGUAAACUAGCACUUCUUAGAGACAAAGUUAUGGGACAUGCUGUAUAACUACUUACCAUUCUGAAGUGUAACAGUCAAGUUUAUAUGUAACGAUUGUUAAUCCCUUUUUUAAAUGUUUAUUUAUA